rnacentral:rRNA from 1 species
UACGUAGGGGCCUAGCGUUGUCCGGAAUUAUUGGGCGUAAAGAGCGCGUAGGCGGUUUGUCGAGUCUGCUGUGAAAACUCAGGGCUUAACCCUGAGCUUGCAGUGGGUACGGGCAGACUAGAGUGCGGUAGGGGAGACUGGAAUUCCUGGUGUAGCGGUGAAAUGCGCAGAUAUCAGGAGGAACACCGGUGGCGAAGGCGGGUCUCUGGGCCGUAACUGACGCUGAGGAGCGAAAGCGUGGGGAGCGAACAGG